ensembl:lncRNA
GGAAACCCUCGUUUCACCCCACAAGUCAGAAGCCAUGGCAGCUUCCAACUGGAAGGCACAGAGGAGGCUUUGCAGCCAAAUGGUUAAAGCAGAAUGUUUUCUCUGGAGGCUCGGAGUGGAGCUGGGGCACUGCCACCCUCCCAGCCACGCCGAGGUGGUGGGACGCGUGACACCGCAAUUACACACGCGGAAGAAAGGAAGGCUGAGGCACUUGACAAAGCAGCUCUGAAUGUCUGCCCGCGGCUGGAAGCUCAAUGAGUCAACACUGAUGUGGCUGCCUCAAGUGUCAGCAUAAAGAUUAAACACGGUAAGGUCUGUGCAAAGCAAACAGGAUAUGAGUUAACUGGUGGGAGAAAGGAGCAAGCACAGAAUAAAUUCACAUGGUCCCUUGGAGGGCCCAUUAGGACUAAUCAGCACUGAAAAAAA